GCUCCUACCGAUUGAGUGAUCCGGUGAAUAAUUCGGACUGCAGCAGUGUUCGGUUCCUGAACGUUGCAGCGGAAAGCUUCGUGAACCUUAUCACUUAGAGGAAGGAGAAGUCGUAACAAGGUUUCCGU
rnacentral:rRNA from 1 species